AGGGAAAAACACAACAACUUAAGUAUGUAAAGAAUAAGUUUGGCAGAGCAAGUUUGGUCCUUGGAGGUUACCGUUACAGUGCUAAGACCAAACGAAACAACAGAAUUUACUGGCGUUGUACAAUUGCAUCCUGUAAAGCAACAGUUAACACACAUGAGGGUCAUUUGGUCAAAGUUGGCACACCACAUAACCAUCCAGCCUACCAGACAGGGUGGUUCAAAAUCAAUGAACCACCAGAACUGUCCUGUGACAGUCAGCAAAGUGAAAAUAAAUCUAUGUCAGAAGAAUAUAUAACAGCGGGUCAAGAGACUCAAGAUGAAAGUGUUCCACUUCACUUGGAAUGUGAGGAAGUGUUUUCAGUAGACAGUGAUGACAAACAAGAUCAAUUUGUAAGUUCAAAUUCAAACUGUGAUGACAACAGCAUUGAUACUCAAAAGAAUAGUACAUCCUCUAGAUCACAUGACAAAAAACCAAUGGUAAAUGUGGACAACUCAAUAUCUCGAUCAUGUGACCUUGACAACUCAGAUCAUCGUCCAGAUUAUAUGACAAGAAACCAGAAGGGAACGUUUCAAGACUGGAUACUCACAUGGACAACUUAUUGUCUAGAUCACAUGACAGAUCACAUGAUUUGGAAAACUCAUCACCAUCCAGAUCACUUGACUUGGAUAACUUGGAGUCAUCUAGAUCAAAUGACAAUACAUCAG